rnacentral:lncRNA from 1 species
AGAGCCUGCACAAGUUGCUCAAUCAAGAAGAAGCUGCCAGGCACAGUGGCUUGUGCCUGUAACCCCAGAACUUUGAGAGGCUGAGCGGGGUGGAUCACCCAAAGUCAGGAGUUCAAGACCAGCCUGGCCAACAUGGUGAAAUGCCGUCUCUACUAAAAAUACAAAAAUUCGCUGGGUGUGGUGGUGGGUGCUUGUAAUCCUAGCUACUCAGGAGGCUGAGACAGGAGAAUCCCUUGAACCCAGAGGCAGAGGUUACAGUGAGCCGAGAUCGUGCCACUGCCCUCCAGCCUGGGCAACAAAGAGUGAAACUCUUGUCUAAAAAAAAAAAGAAGAAGAAGAAGGAGAAGGAGAAGGAGCGGGAGAAGGAGAAGAAGAAGAAGAAGAAGAAGCCUCAGUGAAGUGCUCCAGCAUCUUCACCCCCUUGGUCACUUGCUCAUCUCCUUGAUGAACAAAAGCGGCCCCAGAUCAGAGCCAUCGAGCACCUGCAGCCAGCAAGGUUGGCUGGUUUUCAUUGUGUGCAUUUUUAAGGCGUCUUCUAUUUAUAGAAAGGAUUGUGGUCUUGCAUUUGUAGCAGCGAU